UACGAGAGGCCCAAACGUUAUUCGGAUUUACUGGGCUUAAAGAGUUCGUAGGCGGUGCAGAUAGUGGGGUGUGAAAGCCCUCGGCUCAACCGAGGAAUUGCGCUCCAAACUCCUGUACUCGAGGAAGCUAGAGGUGAGCAGAACUGAUGGUGGAGCGGUGAAAUGCGUUGAUAUCAUCAGGAAUACCGGAGGCGAAGGCGGCUCACUGGGGCUUUUCUGACGCUGAGGAACGAAAGCCAGGGUAGCGAACGGG
rnacentral:rRNA from 1 species